UUUGAACAGCAGGUUUAAGCUGUUCUGCUUGGAAAAAAUGACUAUGUAAAAAUGGCAAACUUUUAUUCAAGAAGUACAUCUUCACACAACGCACAGUCAAAUUAUAGCUGGAUUCAAACAAGAAUUAGGAGCUUAUCAGUGUACUGGGAGUCAAGAGACUUGGGGUUUCUGGUUCUGAGUCAGCUUCUUGCCCUCAGGGUGAAUCUGGCUUGCCAGGCUGGAAGACCACAAAUGACCUUGCAGAUACUGCUGGAUUUGCUGACAUCCUAACAUUCAUUGGAAAUGCCAGCAGUGGAAGAUUUGACUGUUCAAGAGACAAAAUGUGAUUAUGACCCAAAGAAUGAUCCUAUCCUGUGCCCCACAGUUCAGGAAUGUGUCUGUGCGGCUGAUGGCAGAACUUAUAGAAACUACUGUUACUUUGGCAGAGCCAGGAGGAUGGAAAUAUCUUUGCACUGGGAAUGAGCAAACCUAACUGAAUAAAAUGAGACAGAGCAGGGCAACAUGUGGAAAACUUGGCUUAAAACACCCUGGACCAUGUCAUGAGAAAAAGAAGGCAUAAAAAUGGAUUUCUUGUUUUGAAUUUCCAUAAGAAAGUCCCUAUGUAGAAGCACAUUCUCUAUUUGUUCUUCUAUAUAGCUCUUGCAGUUUGCAUCACUAUCUCUGUUUCUUUGUUCAGUAAAGUAAAUUCUGUAAAGUUCUUUAUUUUUCUUUUUUCUUUAAAGGGGGAUUUGUGGCCUUCCAUGAAACCCUUCCUGUUUGCUAUGAAGCAGCAUUAGAUUGAGGCUAGAUUCCCACUAUAAGCUUGAUUUUUACUGUCCCUUCUCAAAACAGGAAUCUGAUCUCGAAAUAUUGCAUGUAGAGCACAUCCUAGGGUAUCAUUUUCCUUGUAAUUUUGGUUAAAAUA